GAUGAACGCUGGCGGCGUGCCUAAUACAUGCCAGUCGAGCGAACAGAUGAGGAGCUUGCUCCUCUGACGUUAGCGGCGGACGGGUGAGUAACACGUGGAUAACCUACCUAUAAGACUGGGAUAACUUCGGGAAACCGGAGCUAAUACCGGAUAAUAUAUUGAACCGCAUGGUUCAAUAGUGAAAGACGGUUUUGCUGUCACUUAUAGAUGGAUCCGCGCCGCAUUAGCUAGUUGGUAAGGUAACGGCUUACCAAGGCAACGAUGCGUAGCCGACCUGAGAGGGUGGUAGGCCACACUGGAAGUGAGACACGGUCCAGACUCCUACGGGAGGCAGCAGUAGGGAAUCUUCCGCAAUGGGCGAAAGCCUGACGGAGCAACGCCGCGUGAGUGAUGAAGGUCUUCGGAUCGUAAAACUCUGUUAUUAGGGAAGAACAAAUGUGUAAGUAACUAUGCACGUCUUGACGGUACCUAAUCAGAAAGCCACGGCUAACUACGUG
rnacentral:rRNA from 1 species